GAUGAACGCUGGCGGUAUGCCUAAUACAUGCAAGUCGUGCGGAAAGGCCCCUUCGGGGGUACUCGAGCGGCGGACGGCAGAGUAACGCGUAGGAACAUACCCCAAACUGAGGGAUAACUGCUCGAAAGAGUAGCUAAUACCGCAUGUGGUCUUCGGACUAAAGCUUCGGCGGUUUGGGAAUGGCCUGCGUUCGAUUAGCUAGUUGGUGAGGUAAAUGCUCACCAAGGCGACGAUCGAUAGCUGGUCUGAGAGGAUGAUCAGCCUGACUGGAACUGAGACACGGUCCAGACUCCUACGGGAGGCAGCAGUAGGGAAUUUUCCACAAUGGGCGAAAGCCUGAUGGAGCAAUACCGCGUGCAGGAUGAAGGCCUUCGGGUCGUAAACUGCUUUUAUGUGCGAAGAAUUUGACGGUAACACAUGAAUAAGGAUCGGCUAACUACGUG
rnacentral:rRNA from 1 species